rnacentral:rRNA from 1 species
UACGUAGGGGGCGAGCGUUGUCCGGAUUUAUUGGGCGUAAAGAGCUCGUAGGCGGUUUGGUAAGUUGGAUGUGAAAUCUCCAGGCUCAACUUGGAGGGGUCAUUCGAUACUGCCAUGACUAGAGUUCGGUAGGGGAGUGUGGAAUUCCUGGUGGAGCGGUGAAAUGCGCAGAUAUCAGGAAGAACACCCGUGGCGAAGGCGGCUCUCUGGGACGGUACUGACGCUGAGACGCGAAAGCGUGGGGAGCAAACAGG